AUUAAAUUGGCAGAAUUAAUGUAUCAAAUUUAGAAUUUGACAAUAGAAUUUUAUUUCAUUUAAUU
rnacentral:tRNA from 1 species